AGGGUUUGAUCAUGGCUCAGAUUGAACGCUGGCGGCAGGCCUAACACAUGCAAGUCGAACGGUAACAUUUCUAGCUUGCUAGAAGAUGACGAGUGGCGGACGGGUGAGUAAUGCUUGGGAACUUGCCUUUAGGAGGGGGAUAACAGUUGGAAACGACUGCUAAUACCGCAUAAUGUCUACGGACCAAAGGGGGCUUCGGCUCUCACCUAAAGAGAGGCCCAAGUGAGAUUAGCUAGUUGGUAAGGUAAAAGCUUACCAAGGCGACGAUCUCUAGCUGUUCUGAGAGGAAGAUCAGCCACACUGGGACUGAGACACGGCCCAGACUCCUACGGGAGGCAGCAGUGGGGAAUAUUGCACAAUGGGGGAAACCCUGAUGCAGCCAUGCCGCGUGUGUGAAGAAGGCCUUCGGGUUGUAAAGCACUUUCAGUUGUGAGGAAAGGUUGGUAGUUAAUACCUGCCAGCUGUGACGUUAACAACAGAAGAAGCACCGGCUAACUCCGUGCCAGCAGCCGCGGUAAUACGGAGGGUGCGAGCGUUAAUCGGAAUUACUGGGCGUAAAGCGCACGCAGGCGGUUUGUUAAGCUAGAUGUGAAAGCCCCGGGCUCAACCUGGGAUGGUCAUUUAGAACUGGCAGACUAGAGUCUUGGAGAGGGGAGUGGAAUUCCAGGUGUAGCGGUGAAAUG
rnacentral:rRNA from 1 species